rnacentral:lncRNA from 1 species
CCAACUCCACUGAUGGAUUUAGGCUCAUUUAAUCCAAACUCGACUCCAUUUCAGCCAGAACCAGGCACCUCUAGAAAGGUCACCCUAACUGCCACAUCCAGUUCCUGAUCUGCCAUCUGCUUCUUUUCCAUCACUUGUGGGGUAUUUCCCAGCCUACCACUAAUGUGAGCCCUCCUGAGUCAAAAGUUCCCCUCUUCCAGGCCUCCUGCUCAGCUGACGUCCUGGACCAGGCAGGCCACCCUUGUUCCACUUCCCCUGGGAAGACACCUGGGUCUUGUGCCUGCCCUGGAUUAGGGUGGGCAAAUUAGUUCAUCCAGGACUAGAAGAAUGGAAAUAAACAGACUUGUGUCUUGGGGCUG